ensembl:piRNA 21ur-194 ncRNA
UUAAACAAGGGACUGUUAGGG